UUCUAUUAGAUCACAGAGAUGCAGAACCUAUUAUUCUGGAAGGAAAUCUUUCCAGUUAUGAAAAGAAUCUUUAUUUAUAUCAUGAGGAAAUGCCCGAAAGACCUAGAGUUGCAACUCUAUUGAAUUCUUUAGCUAAUUAUAAUGUUGCUAUACCAAGUGUGUCAGAAAAUUCUACAUCUCUUCCAAAGAAAGCUAACUUGGGUACUGUUGCAGGCGUUUAUCUACCAUGCAUUCAAAAUAUUUUGGGAGUUAUUUUUUUCAUUCGAAUGGGGUGGAUUGUUGGAACAGCUGGUGUCCCUCUGGCUUUUGCCAUAGUUUUCUUAUCAUGUUGUGUUACAUUUACAACUUGUAUAUCCUUGAGUGCAAUUGCAACAAAUGGCAUUGUCCCAGCGGGUGGUUCAUACUUUAUGAUAUCCCGUUCCUUGGGACCUGAAUUUGGUGGAGCAGUAGGUAUUUUAUUCUACUUAGCCACUUCAGUAGCUGCUGCUAUGUACAUCACUGGGGCAGUUGAAAUUUUUUUGAAUUAUAUGGCACCAAGUCUGUCACUGUUUGGAGACAUAAGUGAUCCAUUUAUCAUGUCCAACAAUUUUCGAAUUUAUGGUACAGUACUACUAAUUAUUGUUGGUACCAUUGUUUUUAUUGGUGUUAAAUUUGUGAGCAAAUUUGCACCUGUUGCGCUUUUCUGUGUCAUCAUAUCUCUGAUUGCUGUGUAUGUUGGGGUAUUUGUCAACUUUUAUGGAAAAGAAGAUACAAAAAUUUGUAUAUUGGGUGAUCGACUGCUAAGUAAAGGAAAUUAUUCUUGUUCAAAAGACCAGAAUGAAACCAAUUCAUUAUUUUAUCUUUAUUGCCAAGAGGUAAAUAAAACAGAAUCUGGAGAACCUAUGUAUUCAUGUGAUUCAUAUUUCGAAAAUAAUGAAGUGAAAAUGAAAUUAGGAAUUCCUGGAAUGUCAAAUGAUGUUUUUCAUUCAAAUAUUCCAAGUCGUUUUCGUCAGAAAGGUGAUUAUGUAUCCGAAAGUGUUAAUCGUGAGGAUGCCAAUUCAUAUGGUCAAAAAACAUACAACCAAAUUUUAGUAGACAUCACCACAUCAUUUACUUUAUUGCUUGCUAUAUUUUUUCCGUCAUGCACUGGAAUUUUAGCAGGCUCCAACAGAUCUGGUGAUUUGGCUGAUGCACAGAAAUCCAUUCCUGCAGGCACAUUAGCUGCUCAGCUUACAACUUCCAUAAUAUAUUUGUCAGGUGUUUUGUUAUUUGGAGCAACUUUUAACAAUCUUUUCAUGCGAGAUAAAUUUGGUGAGAGUAUAGGAGGAGGAUUAGCAGUUGCAAAUUUAGCUUGGCCUCAUCCAUGGGUAGUAAUCAUUGGUUCUUUAUUGUCAACAGUUGGUGCUGGUCUGCAGUCUCUUACAGGAGCUCCACGACUGCUGCAGGCUAUUGCAAAAGAUCAAAUUAUACCAUUUUUAAAUGCAUUUUCAUAUAGUUCAACACGAAAUGAGCCUACUAGAGCUUUGUUCCUUACGCUUUUUAUCUGCGAAAUUGGUAUAUUAAUUGGAAAUCUGGAUCACAUUGCACCCAUUCUAACAAUGUUUUUUCUGAUGUGCUAUAUGUUUGUAAACCUUGCUUGUGCUUUACAAAGCCUUCUUCAUACACCUAAUUGGCGUCCACGUUUCAAAUAUUAUCAUUGGUCACUUUCAAUGGCAGGUGCAAUAUUGUGUUUAGUUGUUAUGUUUCUGAGUAGCUGGUAUUAUGCAUUAAUUGCCAUUGCUAUAGCUGGAUGUGUUUAUAAAUACAUUGAAUAUUGUGGUGCUGAAAAAGAAUGGGGAGAUGGUAUAAGAGGUCUAGCUCUAUCAGCUGCUCGUUACAGUUUACUGAGAUUAGAAGAAGGACCUCCGCAUACAAAGAACUGGAGACCACAAGUUUUGAUUUUGUGCAAAUUAGAUGAAGAACUGAAUCCAAAAUAUCCAAGAAUGUUUUCUUUUGCUUCUCAGCUGAAAGCUGGGAAAGGUUUGACCAUAGUAUGUUCUGUGCUGGAAGGUGCUUUUGAUAAGAUGUACAGUGAAGCCCAAGCAGCAAAACUGAGUUUAAAAAGAACAAUGGAUGAAGAAAAAGUAAAAGGUUUUGCUGAUGUUUUAGUAGCCAAAGAUCUCACUGAAGGCAUUUGUCAUUUGAUUCAAACAGCUGGUAUUGGAGGUCUAAAGCAUAAUACUGUAAUCCUUGGCUGGCCAUAUGGCUGGAGACAGAGUGCAGAUGAGAAGCAAUGGAGAGUAUUUCUUCAUACUAUCCGUAGUGUGUCAGCCAGCAAGAAUGCUCUUUUGGUUCCAAAAGGUAUUAAUCUUUUUCCAAGUAACAAUGAAAAAGUGUCCGGAAAUAUUGACGUUUGGUGGAUUGUACAUGAUGGUGGUUUAUUAAUGUUACUACCAUUUUUACUCAAACAGCACAAGACAUGGAAAAAUUGCAAGCUGAGAAUAUUUACUGUUGCCCAGCUUGAAGACAAUAGCAUACAAAUGAAAAAAGAUUUGUCGAAGUUUUUAUAUCAUUUAAGAAUAGAAGCUGAUGUAGAAGUUGUGGAGAUGGUCUACUUCUUGACCUUGGGCUUGCCUCAUUUCUAUUGCAGAUAUGCUACUGAUGGAUAGUGAUAUAUCUGCAUAUACAUAUGAAAGGACAUUAUUGAUGGAGCAGCGCAAUGAAAUAUUGAAGCAGUUGAAACUUUCUUGUGGAGGUGGUACAACAUUUAAAGAUGUUCAAAAUAUUG
rnacentral:misc_RNA from 1 species